GAGGUAUUGUUUUUUCUGAUUACAUAAAUAAUGCAUACUGAUUUUAAAAUAAGAAAGAGAACAGAAGAUUAAAGAAGGAAAUAAACAUUGUUCAACAUCCUUGCCACUGAAUGCAAACCACUGUUUCUAUUUAGAUGACACUUUUCAGCCAUUGAAGCUUCUCACUCCCUAUUUCCUCUUCACACAGGCUAUUUUUCCUACAUUUCCUUCCCACCCUUUUUAAUAAUUCAUGCUAGGGGAGGAGUGUCUGGAGGGCAUUGGGUGAGGGUGAAAGUGAAGUAAGACUGGUGUGCUUUGGCAAUGGGGAGCUGGAGGAUGGAUGGACAGAACAUGAGAGUUUGUUACAUAUUCUCCACUUUUAAACAUGCUCGAAAAUUUCUUUAACACAAAAAUUUAAAAGUAUUCUGUAGUUAACAUUCUUAACAUAUGCAUACUAAAUUACAAUAAACAAAACAUUAAAAUAUCACCAAAAAAAGGCAAAUUAUACUUAUUUUUAUUUUAUUUAUUAAAUAAAACAGAAAACCACUGAUGAGGCGGAAGCCCUUUCAGGAUCUUACUGGAGUUAACACGCAUGCCCUGCCUUCUGGGUGCAGGCUUCUGAGUCUUCAGAGUACAGAGGGAGCAGUCUGCUCAUUCUCUUCUCCUUCCUUUCCCUCUGCAUUUCUCCAUCUUCUGGUAUUGGGACAGGGAGGAGAGUAGGGAAAAAGGUGUCGCCUCCCCUCUUGGGUGCUUCUGCUUCCGAGUGUGCUUGCGUCUCUGUGCGCCCUGAGAGGUGUGUGCUGCGUUCCUGGUGGCAGGUACCGAAGGCGGCGCCGGGGCACGAGUAUCGGUUGCUUAACCCCACAGUACCCCAGGACCCAUGUGCAUGUAGGCUCAGGCUUCCAGUGCCAUCCCGCCCUCCGCCCCCUCUCUCUUUUCUCUCCUUCCCGGCUUCAAACAGGAACCACGGGCGGAGCAGCACAAUAAAUAAAAUUAAAUAAAUCAAACAAAUUAAAUAAAUAAAAUUAAACAAAUUAAAUUAAAGAAGCACAGUGGAGGAUGAGCCUGCCUAGAUCGAGGUACCCAUCCGCUUUCCCUCCUUACAACGCUGUUAUUGGUUUGUUUUGAUUACUGUUUUGUUUUGUGGUGGGGAGCCAUCCUGAACCUCUUCCUGAGAAGUGGGAAAGUUGCACCGCCCUCCACAAGGCUGACUCUGAGUUAGGACUGGGAGGGAGCAUUCCCAUUUCUUAUGGGUUUACCAUUUAUUUGGCCCCCCGGGUGCCCUGAGGUGGGAGUACUACCUCUGGAGAGCCAGGGCCGCAUGAGCGCCUCUAUUCCUCACUGGAUCUCAGGGACUGGGAGACUCUUUCCCACGGCUUUUGUACCUGGUUGCCAAUUCUGCCUCCACAGGAAGUUGUCGCUCAGCCUCUUCUUCCACUGGCCCUGAGCGUACUUGGCAAAGUCCAAUUGCCCGGAGAGACAGAAGUCUUGCUAUGUUGUUCAGUCUAGCCUCAAACUCCUGGCCUCAAGUGAUCAUCCUGACUCAGCCUCUCAAAACACUGGGAUUACAGGCAUGAGCCACAACACUCAACCUCAUUAUUUUAUAUUUUCCACUAAUGUCUUGAAUAUAAUUCUAAAAAAGUUUCCUAGGUAUGCUCAAAGUUUUGUUUCUAUUGUGAAUGGGGUUCAUUUUUCUCUUCCACAUUUUAACUGGUUAUUUCUGAUGUAUGAAAAUGCUAUAGACAUGCGAUUUGGCUAUUAAAACUGGAAACCUUAAAAAGC
rnacentral:lncRNA from 10 species